rnacentral:rRNA from 1 species
UACAUGGGGUGCAAACGUUGCUCGGAAUUACUGGGCGUAAAGAGCUCGUAGGUGGUUUGUCGCGUUGUCCGUGAAAAACUCACAGCUUAACUGUGGGCGUGCGGGCGACUACGGGCAGACUGGAGUACUGCAGGGGAGACUGGAAUUCCUGGUGUAGCGGUGGAAUGCGCAGAUAUCAGGAGGAACACCGGUGGCGAAGGCGGGUCUCUGGACAGUUCCUGACGCUGAGGCACGAAGGCCAGGGGAGCAAACGGG